rnacentral:rRNA from 1 species
GACGAACGCUGGCGGCGUGCCUAAUACAUGCAAGUUGAGCGCUGAAGGUUGGUACUUGUACCAACUGGAUGAGCAGCGAACGGGUGAGUAACGCGUGGGGAAUCUGCCUUUGAGCGGGGGACAACAUUUGGAAACGAAUGCUAAUACCGCAUAAAAACUUUAAACACAAGUUUUAAGUUUGAAAGAUGCAAUUGCAUCACUCAAAGAUGAUCCCGCGUUGUAUUAGCUAGUUGGUGAGGUAAAGGCUCACCAAGGCGAUGAUACAUAGCCGACCUGAGAGGGUGAUCGGCCACAUUGGGACUGAGACACGGCCCAAACUCCUACGGGAGGCAGCAGUAGGGAAUCUUCGGCAAUGGACGAAAGUCUGACCGAGCAACGCCGCGUGAGUGAAGAAGGUUUUCGGAUCGUAAAACUCUGUUGGUAGAGAAGAACGUUGGUGAGAGUGGAAAGCUCAUCAAGUGACGGUAACUACCCAGAAAGGGACGGCUAACUAC